AAUAUUGGGCAAUGGGGGAAACCCUGACCCAGCAACGCCGCGUGAAGGAGGAAGGNUUNNGGGUUNUNAACUCCUUUUAAGAGNNNNNAACACAAUGACGGUACCUCUUGAAUAAGCCACGGCUAACUACGUGCCAGCAGCCGCGGUAAUACGUAGGUGGCGAGCGUUAUCCGGAUUUACUGGGUGUAAAGGGCGCGUAGGCGGGUCUGCAAGUCAGAUGUGAAAUACCGGGGCUUAACCCCGGGGCUGCAUUUGAAACUGCAGGUCUUGAGUGAUGGAGAGGCAAGCGGAAUUCCUAGUGUAGCGGUGAAAUGCGUAGAUAUUAGGAGGAACACCAGUGGCGAAGGCGGCUUGCUGGACAUUAACUGACGCUGAGGCGCGAAAGCGUGGGGAGCAAACAGG
rnacentral:rRNA from 1 species